rnacentral:tRNA from 1 species
ACCAGGAUGGCCGAGUGAUUAUGGUGUUGGACUUAAGAUCCUAUGGACAAAUUCCCUUAUGGGUUCAAAUCCCACUCCUGGUA